CAACCCAAAGAAAUUUAGGAUUACACUUUCAAUCCUCUAUUCUUCAAUAAUCUGGGAACUUGGGUGGCAAGCACAAAACCAAUGCAAUUCUCCAUCUCUUCCUCAUGCUCCACAAGCCCAACGACCAUCAUCUUCAAAUCUAACAUAUUACAAUCAUGUUAAUGUUUUUUAAAUAGUCUAUUUUGAUCAUACACAUAAAAAUAAUAACAAAUAAAAUACAAAUAAUAUUCAUGUGUUAUUUUAUACAUAUAUUAAUUUUAUAAUAAUCAAAUGCAAAUCUAAUAAUACAAUGUAUAUAUAUUAUCAUUUAUAACAAAAAUUAAAUUACUCUAUGUAAGAUUUUAAUUUCUGCCUUCAAAAUUCAUAUAAACAUUUAAAUAUAUGGAAAGUAUUAAAAUAUUAAAAAUUAAACAUUUUAAAUAAUAUCAAUAUAUAAAGUGAAAACAAACAUCUGCAUAUGUGCGAAGGCCAAGCUCUAGUACAUUGUUAAAAGGAAACAAAUCUUUCAUAUACUAGUACAUUUUUUAAAAUUAAAUAAAUAAUAAUUAAAUAAAGUAAUUCUUUGGUCAAAUAGAAUAAAAUCUUUGAAAAUGAAAAAAUAAAUCUGUUAUUAUUUAGUGUAUAUAUGGUCAACGAAAAAUUAAAUUCGUGAUAAACUAGUCAAAUAUAAAUAUGUUAAAAAAGUUGUUGUUGAAAAUAAUUUUUAUUUCAUAUCACAUAAUUAAUAGUUUAAUUGGUCAGAGCACUGCCCCGUCAAUAUUCCAUAUUUACAUAUUAUUAUCAUAAUUAGAGUCAAUUUUCCAAAAAUAUAAUAAUAACUCUUAUUAUUAAAUUUAUUAUAAUUGUCAACUCAUCAUCCUAUAAAUCUCUCUUUUAGUGUCUCCCAAAAUUUAGAGUCUUACAAUAUACAAUAAACAAGUAACUAAAUCUAGAAAUAAUUAUGGCUAAAGCAAAAUUUUCAGUUGUUUUCCCCAUCAUCUUCCUUAUAAUGUUUGCUUUAGCUGAGGAUUGUAUGGGAUGUCAGGCGAUGCUUGGUGAUUGCCGUAGAUGCGGAAUAAAAUGCAGUUCUUACGGAAGACAUGCAGAGGCUCACUGUGAUUACCGCUAUGAUGGUGGCGCUUGUAUUUGCGACUUUCCUUGUAAUCCUCCACCAAACCUUUAAAAUGGAAAAUUAUUGGUAAUUAAUAUGAAGAAAUAAUAUGUUGAAUCUCAUAAUCAUAGUUGCUGCAAUAUUUCAUAUUUUAAAUAAUAAUUCUGUGAACCUUUGAUAUC